AUUCCAGCUCCAAUAGCGUAUAUUAAAGUUGUUGCGGUUAAAAAGCUCGUAGUUGGAGUUCUGCCAGGUGCCGCCUGUCCGCCCCAGUGGUGAGUACGUGGCGCGCAUUUGGCCCUUUCAAGGGGAGCGUAUUGCACUUAACUGUGUGGUGCGGGAUCCUUGACUUUUACUUUGAGGAAAUAAGAGUGUUCCAAGCAGGCUCUCGUCGUGCAUAGCUCAGCAUGGAAUAAUAGCAUUGGAUCUCGAUUCCAAACUGUUGGUUGUAGGAAACGAGAUAAUGAUGAAGAGGGAUAGUUGGGGGCAUUCGUAUUUAACUGUCAGAGGUGAAAUUCUUGGAUUUGUUAAAGACGAACUACUGCGAAAGCAUCUGCCAUGGAUGUUUUCAUUG
rnacentral:rRNA from 1 species